CCCAGGUCAGGCGGGAUUACCCGCUGAGUUUAA
rnacentral:rRNA from 24 species